rnacentral:rRNA from 1 species
AGCUGAAAGCAUUGAGCACUCCGUCUGGAGAGUAGGGGCGCGAGAUUAACUCUCAGAGAAUUUGACGGACCCCCGCAAAAGCGGGAUANUGUGUUUUUUAACUCUAAGCAACGAAAAACCUUAUACACGUUCGAGACAUCCUCUGAUUGCCAUAGAGAUANUACUUUCCCUUCGAGAACAGAGACACAGGUGCUGCAUGGNUGUCGUCAGCUCGUGUCGUGAGAUGUUGGGUUAAGUCCCGCAACGAGCGCAACCCUUGUNCUUAGUUGCUAGAUUUUGGUUGGGCCCUUUAUGNGGACUGCGGGGAAAAAACGGAGGAAGGUGGGGAUA